rnacentral:misc_RNA from 1 species
AACGCACGAGACCUGCGGACCUGCGGAAGGAUCAUUAAUGAGAAACUGCCCCUCGCGGGUAGAUCUCCCACCCUUUGUAAACUUACCUUUGUUGCUUUGGCAGGCCCGUCUCCGGACCGCCGGCUUCGGCUGGCCAGUGCCUGCCAGAGGAUUCUAAAACUCUGUCUGUCAGUGUUGUCUGAGUCUAUUUACAAUCGUUAAAACUUUCAACAAUGGAUCUCUAGAUCGGAAGAGCACACG